GAACGGUGAACAGCAGAGGGAGAACAGGGAACAGCAGAGGGAGAACGGGGAACAGCAGAGGGAGAACGGGGAACAGCAGAGGGAGAACAGGGAACAGCAGAGGGAGAAGGGGGAGCAGCAGAGGGAGAACAGUGAACAGCAGAGGGAGAACGGUGAACAGCAGAGGGAGAUCGGGGAACAGCAGAGGGAGAACAGUGAACAGCAGAGGGAGAACAGUGAACAGCAGAGGGAGAACAGUGAACAGCAGAGGGAGAAUGGUGAACAGUAGAGGGAGAACAGGGAACAGCAGAGGGAAAACAGGGAACAGCAGAGGGAGAACAGGGAACAGCAGAGGGAGAACAGGGAACAGCAGAGGGAGAACAGUGAACAGCAGAGGGAGAACAGUGAACAGCAGAGGGAGAACAGUGAACAGCAGAGGGAGAACAGUGAACAGCAGAGGGAGAACAGGGAACAGCAGAGGGAGAACAGUGAACAGCAGAGGGAGAACAGUGAACAGCAGAGGGAGAACAGUGAACAGUAGAGGGAGAACAGGGAAC
ensembl:lncRNA